GUGUCUCUCAGAGUUCCUUUCAGCACUUCAUUGGGAUGCAUUGUUUAGAUUUCCCACUGAAGUGUUUGGAGGAACUCCAAGAACCGC
rnacentral:pre_miRNA from 2 species